rnacentral:rRNA from 1 species
AUCGACCUACGGGAGGCAGCAGUAGGGAAUUUUCGUCAAUGGGCGCAAGCCUGAACGAGCAAUGCCGCGUGAACGAGGAAGGUCUUCGGAUCGUAAAGUUCUGUUGAAGGGGAAAAAGAGCGGAGAGAGGAAAUGGUCUCCGAUUGAUAUUACCCUUCGAGGAAGUCACGGCUAACUACGUGCCAGCAGCCGCGGUAAUACGUAGGUGGCGAGCGUAAUCAGGAAUGAUUGGGCGUAAAGGGUGCGUAGGCGGCCUGCUAAGUCUGGAGUGAAGGGUACCGG